UUAUUGGAGAGUUUGAUCCUGGCUCAGGACGAACGCUGGCGGCAUGCCUAAUACAUGCAAGUCGAGCGGAGUGGAU
rnacentral:rRNA from 1 species